AUUGAACGCUGGCGGCAGGUCUAACACAUGCAAGUCGAGCGGAUGAAGGGAGCUUGCUCCUGGAUUCAGCGGCGGACGGGUGAGUAAUGCCUAGGAAUCUGCCUGGUAGUGGGGGAUAACGUCCGGGAACGGGCGCUAAUACCGCAUACGUCCUGAGGGAGAAAGUGGGGGAUCUUCGGACCUCACGCUAUCAGAUGAGCCUAGGUCGGAUUAGCUAGUUGGUGGGGUAAAGGCCUACCAAGGCGACGAUCCGUAACUGGUCUGAGAGGAUGAUCAGUCACACUGGAACUGAGACACGGUCCAGACUCCUACGGGAGGCAGCAGUGGGGAAUAUUGGACAAUGGGCGAAAGCCUGAUCCAGCCAUGCCGCGUGUGUGAAGAAGGUCUUCGGAUUGUAAAGCACUUUAAGUUGGGAGGAAGGGCAGUAAGUUAAUACCUUGCUGUUUUGACGUUACCAACAGAAUAAGCACCGGCUAACUUCGUG
rnacentral:rRNA from 1 species